AGCAGCCGCGGUAAUUCCAGCUCCAAUAGCGUAUAUUAAAGUUGUUGCAGUUAAAAAGCUCGUAGUUGAAUUUCGGGAUCAAUAUAUCGGUCGUGCCUUGGUACGUACUGGUAUCAUUGGUUUCUCCUUUCUGACGAACCAUGAUGUCAUUAAUUUGGUGUUAUGGGAAGUUAGGACUGUUACUUUGAAAAAAUUAGAGUGUUUAAAGCAGGCUUUAGCUUGAAUACAUUAGCAUGGAAUAAUGAAAUAGGACGUUCGAACCUAUUUUGUUGGUUUCUAGGAUCAACGUAAUGAUUAAUAGGGAUAGUUGGGGGCAUUAGUAUUCAAUUGUCAGAGGUGAAAUUCUUGGAUUUAUUGAAGACUAACUACUGCGAAAGCAUUUUGCCAAGGAUGUUUUCAUUAAUCAAGAACGAAAGUUAGGGGAUCGAAGACGAUCAGAUACCGUCGUAGUCUUAACCAUAAACUAUGCCGACUAGGGAUCGGAUGAUGUUAAUUUUUAAUGACUCAUUCGGCGCCUUAC
rnacentral:rRNA from 1 species